rnacentral:rRNA from 1 species
CCUGGCUCACGUUUAGCGCUAGCUACAGCGCUUAACACAUGCAAGUCGAGGGGCAGCAUGGUCUUAGCUUGCUAAGGCCGAUGGCGACCGGCGCACGGGUGAGUAACACGUAUCCAACCUGCCGUCUACUCUUGGACAGCCUUCUGAAAGGAAGAUUAAUACAAGAUGGCAUCAUGAGUCCGCAUGUUCACAUGAUUAAAGGUAUUCCGGUAGACGAUGGGGAUGCGUUCCAUUAGAUAGUAGGCGGGGUAACGGCCCACCUAGUCUUCGAUGGAUAGGGGUUCUGAGAGGAAGGUCCCCCACAUUGGAACUGAGACACGGUCCAAACUCCUACGGGAGGCAGCAGUGAGGAAUAUUGGUCAAUGGGCGAGAGCCUGAACCAGCCAAGUAGCGUGAAGGAUGACUGCCCUAUGGGUUGUAAACUUCUUUUAUAAAGGAAUAAAGUCGGGUAUGGAUACCCGUUUGCAUGUACUUUAUGAAUAAGGAUCGGCUAACUCCGUGCCAGCAGCCGCGGUAAUACGGAGGAUCCGAGCGUUAUCCGGAUUUAUUGGGUUUAAAGGGAGCGUAGAUGGAUGUUUAAGUCAGUUGUGAAAGUUUGCGGCUCAACCGUAAAAUUGCAGUUGAUACUGGAUAUCUUGAGUGCAGUUGAGGCAGGCGGAAUUCGUGGUGUAGCGGUGAAAUGCUUAGAUAUCACGAAGAACUCCGAUUGCGAAGGCAGCCUGCUAAGCUGCAACUGACAUUGAGGCUCGAAAGUGUGGGUAUCAAACAGGAUUAGAUACCCUGGUAGUCCACACGGUAAACGAUGAAUACUCGCUGUUUGCGAUAUACAGCAAGCGGCCAAGCGAAAGCGUUAAGUAUUCCACCUGGGGAGUACGCCGGCAACGGUGAAACUCAAAGGAAUUGACGGGGGCCCGCACAAGCGGAGGAACAUGUGGUUUAAUUCGAUGAUACGCGAGGAACCUUACCCGGGCUUAAAUUGCAGAUGAAUUACGGUGAAAGCCGUAAGCCGCAAGGCAUCUGUGAAGGUGCUGCAUGGUUGUCGUCAGCUCGUGCCGUGAGGUGUCGGCUUAAGUGCCAUAACGAGCGCAACCCUUGUUGUCAGUUACUAACAGGUUCCGCUGAGGACUCUGACAAGACUGCCAUCGUAAGAUGUGAGGAAGGUGGGGAUGACGUCAAAUCAGCACGGCCCUUACGUCCGGGGCUACACACGUGUUACAAUGGGGGGUACAGAGGGCCGCUACCACGCGAGUGGAUGCCAAUCCCCAAAACCUCUCUCAGUUCGGACUGGAGUCUGCAACCCGACUCCACGAAGCUGGAUUCGCUAGUAAUCGCGCAUCAGCCACGGCGCGGUGAAUACGUUCCCGGGCCUUGCACACACCGCCC